GAUUUCUGGAUGGCUGUGCUAGCCCGCUGGCUUUCGGGUCGGUGAGCGCCGGUACGAGUCAUUCAUCUUUGUAGGGAGCCUGGUCUGCCCUUUUUUGGGUGGGUCUGUGCGAACUACAUCAUUUACUUUGAAAAAAUUAGAGUGUUUAAAGCAGGCUUACGCUAUGAAUACAUUAGCAUGGAAUAAUACUAUAGGACUUUGGUUCUAUUGUGUUGGUCUAGAACUGAAGUAAUGAUUGAUAGGGAUAGUUGGGGGUGCUAGUAUUCAACGGCCAGAGGUGAAAUUCUUGGAUUCGUUGAAGACUAACUUAUGCGAAAGCAUU
rnacentral:rRNA from 1 species